UUUAUCUCCAAUGAAAGUAAAAAAUUACUCUACUUUGCUUUCUUCAUUCCUUCAGUCCGAGAAACCUAGAGUCUUUAGUUUCUGCACUUUACUUUUUUAUUUUUCUUCAUCCCCCAGAAAACCCACACACAAUCUCAUUAAGAAAACAAAAAAAAAAAUCCAUGCUCCAUCUCCCUGCAUCUCUUACCUCUUCUCUUGCAAACAUAUGAAAGACUAAGGAAAAAUUGCGUUUGAGGUGAGCGGUAGUUGUGCAGAGGAGCUUUACUUGGAAAGUUUGCAGCAUCAAAUAGAAAGUGAUCUUAUGCCAAGUGCCCGAUGUGACCAAAGUGAUUCUUAUGAGUGGAUAUCACGAUGGUCUCAUAGCAAGAGAAGAAGCUGUAGCACAAGAAGGAUUUAAUAUUGGCUUUAAGGAAUCAGUCCUUGUUGGGUACAAAUAGGGUCUAGUUAGAGGUGAUACCAGGUAAAAGAAAACAAAAGAGGAAAAUAAUUUGAAUGCUCUAUUGCUUAUAGAGUUUUUAAUGAAAUUGCUAUAAGCAUAUGAUUAAAAAAGAAUUUAAAUACUCUGUUGCUCAUAGAGUUUUUAAUGAAGUUGCUAUAAACAUAUGAUUAACUUCUUUUCUCUACUACUUUUGUUUUCCUAUUUUGUCCAAUCUGCAUCCCCAUGAACUGCCUUCACUUUAGUUCCUGAGGACUUGAAAGAGAGCAUUUAAAUUCUCAAGAUGGGAUUGGAAUGAGCUAGGGGUGACAAACUGUGGAAAUGAGACAAAACUCCUAAGUGGAUCAGUCUAUCGAGGCGGAUUGCCCAAGGAAUUAUAUGUGGUGAAAGAUAUAUUAACUGGAAUGAGAAAACAUGUUCAUCUGCUGGACAUAACAACUCUAUCACAACCCAGAAAAGAUGCACAUCCUGGCUUUUAUAAUAGCUUUAGGCGCAUGGACUGUAACCAUUGGUGUAUUGCUGGACUUCUAGAUACUUGGAAUCAAAUUUUUAUGCAUUUCUCAUAAUUGUUAUGCUUGUUCUGGUAUUUUUAGUUUAUAAAAAUGAUCAUACGGUUGCUUAGGUCCUUC